AGUCUCCUGAAGGAACGUUGAAGACGACGACGUUGAUAGGCCGGGUGUGUAAGCGCAGCGAUGCGUUGAGCUAACCGGUACUAAUGAGCCGUGAGGCUUAACCUUACAACGCCGAAGGUGUUU
rnacentral:rRNA from 1 species